UUUCCUUGAAGGGGUCAAGGGGACGUGGACGUGAAACCUCUCCCUUCACAACCACGGUGGUAGCAAAGGGUCUCACAGUCGGGGGUGACUUGGGAGGAGACACAGGCGGUGGUGUAACAGGCAGAGGUGACUGUAGCUGCUGAAAGGAGAAGUGCCACAGAAGCUUCGCGAGAAGCGGCAUCCCCAGAUCGUCACUCAGAAAAUGGCCGGAAAGUCCCCAGCGGACCUUCCAUCAUCAGACCACCCCGAGACAAUUGCUAUGAAGGCUGAAGCAAGCAUGAACUAUCACAUCUGUGUAGACGAAAUCUACACCAGGGAACAGAAGGUGGACCAUGCGUACUGGUUCGGUAUGCUGGUGUGCGAAAAGACCAUCCACUACACCGAGCGGGAGAAGGCACACAUAAAACAAGUGGAAUUCCUUCGGAGGGAGGUUGAAAGACGUGGCAAAAUUAUCCACCGAUUGGAACUGGACCUGGCGGCAUCCGAGGCCAGCUUGUCUGCCUCGCAGACAAAUCUGGACGCCACACAAAAUGAACUGGAUGACCUCCAACUUAUCAACGCCUCCCAAGAACACGACAACCAGAACCGCACAACCGCCUCCCAAGAUACGGAUUCGUCCCGGCCAUUGUGUUCGACAAUGAUUGACGACAUGGACGAGAACGGGAACGGAGAUCCACUACCAGGCCCCUGAAAACACUCCAGGCCCCUGUAAAUCGAAGAUAUUGUAAAUAGUGUGAUUCUUUUUAUAUAGUGUGGUGUUGUAAAUAGUGUGUUUUUUUUUAAUUGUAUACUCCAAUAAAAACUCAAACAUCUGAUAUUGUUUCAUAUUUACACAAAUUGCCCAUGCAAAAACGAAUGUUUCACAAUUCGUGUUCUUUUCUGUACUUGUGUGCCUGCGCUGGAACCGUCAAAUAUCCCAUGACGCAUAGGCUAUAUAGGGAC
rnacentral:lncRNA from 1 species